GACGAACGCUGGCGGCGUGCUUAACACAUGCAAGUCGAACGGAAAGGCCCUGCUUUUGUGGGGUGCUCGAGUGGCGAACGGGUGAGUAACACGUGAGUAACCUGCCCUUGACUUUGGGAUAACUUCAGGAAACUGGGGCUAAUACCGGAUAGGAGCUCCUGCUGCAUGGUGGGGGUUGGAAAGUUUCGGCGGUUGGGGAUGGACUCGCGGCUUAUCAGCUUGUUGGUGGGGUAGUGGCUUACCAAGGCUUUGACGGGUAGCCGGCCUGAGAGGGUGACCGGCCACAUUGGGACUGAGCUACGGCCCCGACUCCUACGGGAGGCAGCAGUGGGGAAUAUUGCACAAUGGGCGGAAGCCUCAUGCAGCAAAGCCGCGUGCGGGAUGACUGCCUUCGGGUUGUAAACCGCUUUCGCCUGUGACGAAGCGUGAGUGACGGUAAUGGGUAAAGAAGCACCGGCUAACUACGUG
rnacentral:rRNA from 1 species